rnacentral:rRNA from 1 species
CGGGUCGUAAAGCUCUUUAGGUUGGGAAGAAGGGUGUGUGGGGAUAAUCUAUGCACUUUGACGGUACCGACAGAAUAAGCACCGGCAAACUCUGUGC